rnacentral:rRNA from 1 species
GCUUGCAGAAGAUAGUAAAGUGGCGCACGGGUGAGUAACGCGUGGGUAAUCUACCUUCAAAUCGGGGAUAACAUUGCGAAAGCGAUGCUAAUACCGGAUGACGUCUAAUAAACCCCGGUUUAUGAGAUUAAAGGUGGCCUCUAUAUAUAAGCUACUGUUUGAAGAUGAGCCCGCGUACCAUUAGCCUGUUGGUAGGGUAACGGCCUACCAAAGCAACGAUGGUUAGCUGGUCUGAGAGGAUGACCAGCCACACUGGAACUGACACACGGUCCAGACUCCUACGGGAGGCAGCAGUGAGGAAUUUUGCGCAAUGGGGGAAACCCUGACGCAGCAACGCCGCGUGAGUGAUGAAGGCUUUCGGGUCGUAAAACUCUGUCAAGUGGGAAGAAACUGGUUGAUGCCAAUACCAUCGGCCAUUGACGGUACCACUGAAGGAAGCACCGGCUAACUCCGUGCCAGCAGCCGCGGUAAUACGGGGGGUGCAAGCGUUAUUCGGAAUUAUUGGGCGUAAAGAGCGCGUAGGCGGUCUUUUAAGUCAGAUGUGAAAGCCCGGGGCUCAACCCCGGAAGUGCAUUUGAAACUAAAAGACUUGAGUAUGGGAGAGGGAAGUGGAAUUCCUGGUGUAGAGGUGAAAUUCGUAGAUAUCAGGGGGAACACCGGUGGCGAAGGCGACUUCCUGGACCAAUACUGACGCUGAGGCGCGAAGGCGUGGGGAGCAAACAGGAUUAGAUACCCUGGUAGUCCACGCAGUAAACGUUG